UGCAUGGCUCCAUGUUGAUUGUUACACUAACUUGAUUAAUUGUCUACCUUGUUUUCUGCAGGAAUAUUGAUACAUUCAUGAGCAUAUUUGUGCUUAUGCUUAUUCAAAUAAUAUAUUCAUCUAGUGUCUUGCAUGUGGGAAAGAGGUCAUUUAAUGCAGCCAAGGAUGACUUGCCGGCAACCUUCUUUGGCAUUGUGAAGACCAAAUCAUCAUUUUGUGUUCCGAGAGAAUUUCUAUGGUAUCAAGAUUCAAUUGGUGCAUGUCAAAUUUCCCUCAGCUUGUGCAUCAAUGCUUCAAGAGGCUAAUGUAGUUCUGACUUAUUGUUGCUUCAAAUCUUAAAAAUCAGCUUAGUGUAAUUAUGGGAUAUCUAUUUUUUCUCUUGAGAAAAUUUAGCUCACUUGUAUUUGGAUUUUUCUUUAGGGGUCAUGUUGUGACACUAUGUAUUAAGGAUAUUGUAUAUACAUAGCAAGGAAAAGAAACUUUUUCUAGUUCCCUCUG